rnacentral:rRNA from 1 species
GACGAACGCUGGCGGCGUGCUUAACACAUGCAAGUCGAACGGAAAGGCCUGCAGCUUGCUGCGGGUACUCGAGUGGCGAACGGGUGAGUAACACGUGGGUGAUCUGCCUUGCACUUCGGGAUAAGCUUGGGAAACUGGGUCUAAUACCGGAUAGGACAGCUGUUUAGUGUCAGUUGUGGAAAGUUUUUUCGGAGCAAGAUGAGCUCGCGGCCUAUCAGCUUGUUGGUGGGGUAAUGGCCUACCAAGGCGUCGACGGGUAGCCGGCCUGAGAGGGUGUACGGCCACAUUGGGACUGAGAUACGGCCCAGACUCCUACGGGAGGCAGCAGUGGGGAAUAUUGCACAAUGGGCGGAAGCCUGAUGCAGCGACGCCGCGUGGGGGAUGAAGGCCUUCGGGUUGUAAACUCCUUUCGACAGGGACGAAGCGUAAGUGACGGUACCUGUAUAAGAAGCACCGGCUAACUACGUGCCAGCAGCCGCGGUAAUACGUAGGGUGCGAGCGUUGUCCGGAAUUACUGGGCGUAAAGAGCUCGUAGGUGGUUUGUCGCGUCGUCUGUGAAAUUCCGGGGCUUAACUCCGGGCGUGCAGGCGAUACGGGCUGACUUGAGUGCUGUAGGGGAGACUGGAAUUCCUGGUGUAGCGGUGAAAUGCGCAGAUAUCAGGAGGAACACCGAUGGCGAAGGCAGGUCUCUGGGCAGUAACUGACGCUGAGGAGCGAAAGCAUGGGUAGCGAACAGGAUUAGAUACCCUGGUAGUCCAUGCCGUAAACGGUGGGCGCUAGGUGUAGGGGGCUUCCACGUCUUCUGUGCCGUAGCUAACGCAUUUAGCGCCCCGCCUGGGGAGUACGGCCGCAAGGCUA